GACGAACGCUGGCGGCGUGCUUAACACAUGCAAGUCGAACGAUGAAGCUGGAGCUUGCUCCGGUGGAUUAGUGGCGAACGGGUGAGUAACACGUGAGCAAUCUGCCCUUGACUCUGGGAUAACUGCGGGAAACUGUAGCUAAUACCGGAUACGAGACCUGAAGGCAUCUUCGGGUCUGGAGAGAAUUUCGGUCAAGGAUGAGCUCGCGGCCUAUCAGCUUGUUGGUGAGGUAAUGGCUCACCAAGGCGACGACGGGUAGCCGGCCUGAGAGGGUGACCGGCCACACUGGGACUGAGACACGGCCCAGACUCCUACGGGAGGCAGCAGUGGGGAAUAUUGCACAAUGGGCGAAAGCCUGAUGCAGCAACGCCGCGUGAGGGAUGAAGGCCUUCGGGUUGUAAACCUCUUUUAGCAGGGAAGAAGCGAAAGUGACGGUACCUGCAGAAAAAGCACCGGCUAACUACGUGCCAGCCGCCGCGGUAA
rnacentral:rRNA from 1 species